rnacentral:rRNA from 1 species
UACAGAGGUCUCAACCGUUGUUCGGAUUCAUUGGGCGUAAAGGGUGCGUAGGCGGUCGCGCAAGUCGGAUGUGAAAUCUUGGGGCUCAACCCUGAAACUGCAUUCGAUACUGCGUGGCUCGAGUACUGGAGAGGAGACUGGAAUUUACGGUGUAGCAGUGAAAUGCGUAGAUAUCGUAAGGAAGACCAGUGGCGAAGGCGAGUCUCUGGACAGUUACUGACGCUGAGGCACGAAGGCCAGGGGAGCAAACGGG